rnacentral:lncRNA from 1 species
ACCUGAGGUCAGGAGUUCGAGACCAGUCUCACUAACGAGGUGAAACCCCGUCUCUACUAAAAAUACAAAAUUAGCCGGGCAUGUUGGCUCACGCCCAUAAUUCCAGCACUUUGGGAGGCUGAGGCAGGCAUAUCACAAGAUCAGGAGUUCGAGACAAGCCUGAGACGGGGUUUCACCGCGUUAGCCAGGAUGGUCUCGAUCUCCUGACCUCGAGAUCUGCCUGCCUUAGCCUCCCAAAGUGCUGGGAUUACAGGCAUAAGCCACUGUGCCCGGCCGUUUUGGGGGGUAUUUUUUGGAGACAGAGACUUGCUCUGUUGCUCAGGCUGGAGUGCAGUGGCACAAUCACAGCUCACUGCAGCCUCAAACUCUUGGACUCAAGCCAUCCUCCCACCUCACCCUCCCCAGUAGCUGGGACUACAGAUGUGCACCACCACACACCCAGCUAAUUAUUUUAUUUUUUGUAAAGAUGGGUUCUAGCUUUGUUCCCCAAGUUGGUCUUGAACUCCUUGCCUCAGGCAACCCUCUUGCCUCAGCCUUCCAAAGUGCUGGGAGGCGUGAGCCACCAUGCCCAGCAAAGUACUUAUUUUUGUACACUAUGAUGCUUUCUACAUAUAUUAGUUUUAUUUUCUCAACUAGAAAGCAUUCUCAGCUGAGCACUCUGGCUGACACCUAUAAUCCCAGCACUUUGAGAGGCCGAGGUAGGAGGAUCACUUGAGCCCAGGAGUUAGAGGCCAGCCUGGGCAACGUAGCAAGACCCCAUCUCUACAAAAAAAUUUUAAAAUUAGCCAGGUGUGGUGGCGCAUGCACGUAGUCCCAGCUACUUGGGAGUCUGAGGCAGGAGAAUCACUUGAACCCAAGAGAUUGAGGUUACAGUGAGCUAUGAUCAUGCCACUGCAUUCACUGGAUGACAAAUCGAGACCUUGUCUCUAAAAA